rnacentral:snRNA from 1 species
GCACUGGCUUCAAUCUUAGCACAUAUACUAAGAUUGGAACAACGCAGAGAACAUUAGCGUGGCCCCUGCACAAGGAUGGCACACAAGUUCAGGAAUUGUUACAUAUUUUU